rnacentral:rRNA from 1 species
GAUGAACGCUGGCGGCGUGCUUAACACAUGCAAGUCGAACGAUGAAAGCGGGAGCUUGCUCCUGCUGGAUUAGUGGCGAACGGGUGAGUAACACGUGAGUAACCUGCCCUUGACUCUGGGAUAAGCGUUGGAAACGACGUCUAAUACCGGAUACGACCUUCGGAGGCAUCUCCUGGGGGUGGAAAGAAUUUCGGUCAAGGAUGGACUCGCGGCCUAUCAGCUAGUUGGUGAGGUAAUGGCUCACCAAGGCGACGACGGGUAGCCGGCCUGGGGGGGUGACCGGCUACACUGGGACUGAGACACGGCCCAGACUCCUACGGGAGGCAGCAGUGGGGAAUAUUGCACAAUGGGCGCAAGCCUGAUGCAGCGACGCCGCGUGAGGAAUGACGGCCUUCGGGUUGUAAACCUCUUUCAGCAUCGACGAAGCGAAAGUGACGGUAGGUGCAGAAGAAGGACCGGCCAACUACGUGCCAGCCGCCGCCGUAACAC